rnacentral:rRNA from 1 species
UACGUAGGGGGCAAGCGUUAUCCGGAUUUACUGGGUGUAAAGGGAGCGUAGACGGCAAAGCAAGUCUGAAGUGAAAGCCCCGGGCUCAACCCGGGAAUUGCUUUGGAAACUGUUUAGCUAGAGUGCAGGAGAGGUAAGCGGAAUUCCUAGUGUAGCGGUGAAAUGCGUAGAUAUUAGGAGGAACACCGGCGGCGAAGGCGGCUUACUGGACUGUAACUGACGUUGAGGCUCGAAAGCGUGGGGAGCAAACAGG